GGCCUAACACAUGCAAGUCGAACGAUGAACCUCACUUGUGGGGGGAUUAGUGGCGAACGGGUGAGUAACACGUGAGUAACCUGCCCUUAACUCUGGGAUAAGCCUGGGAAACUGGGUCUAAUACCGGAUAUGACUCCUCAUCGCAUGGUGGGGGGUGGAAAGCUUUAUUGUGGUUUUGGAUGGACUCGCGGCCUAUCAGCUUGUUGGUGAGGUAAUGGCUCACCAAGGCGACGACGGGUAGCCGGCCUGAGAGGGUGACCGGCCACACUGGGACUGAGACACGGCCCAGACUCCUACGGGAGGCAGCAGUGGGGAAUAUUGCACAAUGGGCGAAAGCCUGAUGCAGCGACGCCGCGUGAGGGAUGACGGCCUUCGGGUUGUAAACCUCUUUCAGUAGGGAAGAAGCGAAAGUGACGGUACCUGCAGAAGAAGCGCCGGCUAACUACGUGC
rnacentral:rRNA from 1 species